rnacentral:rRNA from 1 species
GAUGAACGCUGGCGGCGUGCCUAAUACAUGCAAGUCGAGCGAACAGACGAGGAGCUUGCUCCUCUGACGUUAGCGGCGGACGGGUGAGUAACACGUGGAUAACCUACCUAUAAGACUGGGAUAACUUCGGGAAACCGGAGCUAAUACCGGAUAAUAUAUUGAACCGCAUGGUUCAAUAGUGAAAGACGGUUUUGCUGUCACUUAUAGAUGGAUCCGCGCCGCAUUAGCUAGUUGGUAAGGUAACGGCUUACCAAGGCGACGAUGCGUAGCCGACCUGAGAGGGUGAUCGGCCACACUGGAACUGAGACACGGUCCAGACUCCUACGGGAGGCAGCAGUAGGGAAUAUUCCGCAAUGGGCGGAAGCCUGACGGAGCAACGCCGCGUGAGUGAUGAAGGUCUUCGGAUCGUAAAACUCUGUUAUUAGGGAAGAACAAAUGUGUAAGUAACUAUGCACGUCUUGACGGUACCUAAUCAGAAAGCCACGGCUAACUACGUG